rnacentral:rRNA from 1 species
UGGGGAAUUUUGGACAAUGGGCGCAAGCCUGAUCCAGCCAUGCCGCGUGCAGGAUGAAGGCCUUCGGGUUGUAAACUGCUUUUGUACGGAACGAAAAGACUCCUUCUAAUAAAGGGGGUCCAUGUCGGUACCGUAAGAAUAAGCACCGCCUAACUACGUGCCAGCAGCCGCGGUAAUACGCAGGGUGCGAGCGUUAAUCGGAAUUACUUGGCGUAAAGCGUACGCAGGCGGUUUUAUAAGACUGAUGUGAAAUCCCCGGGCUCAACCUGGGACCUGAAUUUGAGACUGUAUAGCUUGAGUACAGUAGAGGAGAAUGGAAUUCCGAGUGUAGCAGUGAAAUGCGUAGAUAUGCGGAGGAACACCGAUGGCGAAGGCAGUCCCCUGGACCGGAACUGACGCUCAUGAGCGAAAGAGUGGGGAGCAAACA